rnacentral:rRNA from 1 species
UUAGAUACCCUACUAUACUAAUAAUAACUCUGAGUAUUAAUAGAUAUAAUUCUUCAAAUUUAAAGAAUUUGGCGGUGAUUUAGUCUUGUUAGAGGAACCUGUUUUUGAAUCGAUAAACCACGUAAAAUUUUACUCACUUUUGUAUUCAGUUUAUAUACCGUCAUUAUCAGGUAAUUUUUAAAGAAUAAAUUAUUAUAAUUUAGGUUAAAGUAGGUUAAAUUAGAUCAAGGUGUAGCUAAUAAGUGAGUUAAAAUGGGUUACAAUAAAAUUAAUUUAUUAUGGAGUAUUUAUAGGAAGCUAUAAUAGUAAGGAGGAUUUAAUUGUAAUAGGAGUUUAAUAAGCUUUAGAUAUAUAAGCUCUAAAUCAUGUACAUAUCGCCCGUCGCUA